AUCUCAUCAAUUGGAAGGGAUCCCUUCCAAUUGACAAGGUGAAAAGAUCUCAUCAAUUGGAAGGGAUCCCUUCCAAUAGAUGAGGU
rnacentral:miRNA from 1 species